rnacentral:tRNA from 1 species
GUGAGACUGCACAGCCCAGUGGUGCAGGGCAUGGCUCUGACACCUGGCGGCCUGGGUUCAAAUCCCAGCUUCUACA